ACCCUUGAUUUGUGAAGAUGGUCUUGGGAAUGUGAAUUUUUAUGUUUUUAUAAUUUGGUGUUGCUGUUGAAUGGCUCAGUUGUAACGUCAGAUAAUCAGACAGAGAAUCCUGAAGUCUGCACAAAGCAUGUAAACAUUUUAUUGCAUGAUACUCCCCUUGAAGUUUUUAUAUUUUCCAAUGUUAAGAUCUCCAAUCAUUGUUAUAUGAAAACUUUCUCCCAAACAGUAAAAGUUAACCUCUACAAUGUUGUAAAAGUUACAACGGACGUGGUGAUUCAUGUGAGGUUAAUUAUCAAACUUUUUUCUGAGAACUUUGAACUUUCUGGACUAUUUUCAACUAUGGUAAUAAAUAUGUAAUGAGUAAAAUCUUCUGACAGAAUGCUCGUCAGGCACCUUUGGCAUAGAUUGUAAUGAGGACUGUCUUGACGGGUUCUAUGGACGUUUAUAAUUGUUAUUUGUGUGACAAGGUCUCUGGAUGUCAGGUGAUUGGUAAGAAAAAUGUUUGUGCAUAAGUUUAAGUUUUAUUCCUCGAAUGGCUCAAGUUAUUUAUUAUAUAAAUGUGUUUACAUUAGCAAUAAAUAAUUACGAGAGAUAUUUCAAAAAGAUACUUAAAUAAAUAAAUGUUUAUUCAGUAUAUGCAUACAUAAGCUCUGUACCCAAGGAUGAUUUCUACCAAGUUUGAAAUUGGCACAGUGCUUCUGCAGAAGUUAGAAAUGUGAAAAGUUUAUGUACAGACGGACGGGCGCCUGACAACCUGUGAUCGGAAAAGCUCACCUGAUCUGAAAGCUCAAAUCAUAUGAGGUAAAACACUACUCUUAAGUUGAAUAUUUUGUGAAAAAUGUACGUGAAAUACCAAAGGCAUUGAACAUUUAAAAGUACAGGAAAAGGGGCGGGGGUGGGGUGUGAAAGUCCUUUAUCCACAAGCACCUGUGUUCUCAAAGCAAGGGGUGUCCAUGGCGUAGUGGUUAGAGCAUCACGCUCAAAAUCACAUGGCCUUUCACUUCUGCUCGGUGCGGAUUCGAAGUUUCCCAGUUCACCUGCGGAAGCUCGGUAGUCUUUUCCCAGGCUCAUUGUAUCUGGAUUCUCUUCUUCCAAGAAAAACUGGGAGCAUCCAUAUAACUGAAAAAUUGUUGAGUGUGGCGGAAAACAUCAAUCAGUCAAUCAAUCAAUCUCAAACCAAAAUUAAGGGUUGUACAUAAUAUGAUUCGAGCACUUCUCUAAGGCAGGACAAGCUAUAAAAUUUAUUUGUUUAAUUUGCUUUCUUCCGUUGCUUUGAGUUCUUUGAAUUCCGCAAGUUUAAAAAACAUGAAUUAGUUAAUACAUGUACAUGAAAGGUGAAAAUAACGAACAUUGAUCAAUUUCAUAACUCCUAUAAGCAAUACAAAAUAGAGAGUUGGGCAAACAAGGACCCCUGGUUAUACCACAGGUGGGAUGAGGUUCCUAGGAGGAGUAAACAUCCCUUGUCGACCGGUAACACCCGCCGUGAACCUAUAUCUUGAUCAGGUAAACGGAGUUAUCGUAGUCAAAAUCAGUGUGCCAAGAACAACCUAACAGUCGGUAUGAAACAUGUAUCUUCAACUUCAUAGCUUAUUAUCACAGAUUGACUGAGUUCUUGUCAAUAUAUAUAUAAAUGACAAACUUCACAACACUUUACAAUAUACAGUUUUUCUCCACUUUUACAUAUUGCAUUUUGUUUACUACAGUUAAUUAAAUUAAUGAAAUUAAUGUUGGUUUCUGCUUCCACAUCAUAUGUUCUUGUUCCCAAACUUUGGCGUGCAGAGGUGUAACUAGCGAAUGGCAAUGUUUCCUAUAUUUGAUCUACUUGUACACUGGACAUCAGAAGUGAAGUGAAGACAAUCUGGUUUAUUGAGAAAUUAUUAAGUGAAGUUUUCAAUAUACAAAACACUGGGUGCCAACUAUAUCUCUGUGUACGCUUUGCCUGCUACGCCCAAACCAACUCGCAACUGGUAUUUCAAGUGAAUAUAUACACAGGUAUCUAAAUGUAGACCUGGUGAACAUCAUUAACUUUACCUGUAUGGAAGCAAGUUAGGAAUAAAAUUAUAUACAUUUAAUUCUUUUGUACAAGGUUAAAACUAGGGAAAGUAGUUUGGACAUAAAAUGUGACACUUAAAGAACUUUAAAUAAGACAACUCAUUCCAGUUCUGUAUCUGUUACUUUUAUACUGUUUUGCGAAAAGUUUAUCGUUAACCUUGCAAGCGUGUCACAUUUGAAACUAUUGUGUUCUGAAUCAAUUUAUGCAUAUUGGAACGAAAUUUGUCUUAAUUACUGAUAACUGUUCAAUCACAUGUUUAUUUUAAAAGAAAUGAAUUUCAUGUUUGUAUAGACAGGGAAUAAAUGUGACGCUUCACUCUCGGAUACUUCAUGAACAGCAUCAGUUCGAACAAGACAAAUACUAACCCCUGGAUAUACCAGUGGUGGGAUUAGGUGCCUAGGAGGAGUACGCAUCCCCUGUCGACCGGUCACACCCGCCGUAAAUCUAUCUUUAUCAAGUAUAAAUGUUAUGAAUUAUUACACACUUUCGUAUGAUGAUUAUGGUGCAUAUUUCGUAGUAAUUAAAAAUGAAAUUUCUACAAAACAAAUAUAUAUUCCUCAAUAUUUUUAAUUGUCACUUCAAAUAGGAAGGAAGUUGUACCGGAUAUUUCAUUUCAGCACAUAUCCAAAUCAACGUUCCUGUUUGGGAAGGUAAAUCAGUACUAUUAGAAUGUUAGGGAACGUUUCCAUAUUCAGAAUAAGCUAUGAUACUGGUUUUGGUAAUGUAAUGUUAUGAUGUGCAUAAUAAUCCGCUUUUAUUUGGUGGUGCUGUUGAAUAGUUUAUUUGUGAUAUCACUUGCUCAGAUAUAUAAUCCUGGGGUCUGUUCAAAUGAAGACGAACCUCUACAAUGUUGUCAAAAUUACAAAAGACGUGGUAAUUCAUGCGAAGAAUGCUUGCCAGGCACGUUUGGUAUAGAUUGUGAGAAGGACUGUCCUGAAGGGUUCUAUGGACGUUUGUGUGCAGAAGUCUGUAAUUGUUCUUCGUGUGACAAGGUCUCUGGGUGUCAGCCGAAUUCAACUCAGACUGGUGGUGUACUAGUCAAAACGACACCAUUGGGUGGAUUUCCUCAACUCCAUUGAUGCAGCUGGUGGUGGUGGUCCAGCAUUAACAUUUCAAGGCGGGAAUUUUGAACUGUUAGAUCCUCAGAUGUGUUGGCAGCAAAACAAUUUUGCUGAUAAUUCAAUGAAUUCAAAAGAUAAUAGCCAUGCUAAGCUGUCGACUCUAGACGGUGUGUACAAUCAUCUCAACAUGGAUGUGGACGAUUACAACAUAUUAAGCCUGACAAUCAACAACAGUCAUGUAAUGAAGCUCUUUUGGAUUUUGUGUAGGCAAUAGAGAAAAUGAUAAAUCGUAGAAUAAAUAAAAAUAAAAAUUUAUUUAUCAAUAA